rnacentral:rRNA from 1 species
GAUGAACGCUGGCGGCGUGCCUAAUACAUGCAAGUCGAGCGAACGGACGAGAAGCUUGCUUCUCUGAUGUUAGCGGCGGACGGGUGAGUAACACGUGGAUAACCUACCUAUAAGACUUGGAUAACUUCGGGAAACCUGAGCUAAUACCGGAUAAUAUUUUGAACCGCAUGGUUCAAAAGUGAAAGACGGUCUUGCUGUCACUUAUAGAUGGAUCCGCGCUGCAUUAGCUAGUUGGUAAGGUAACGGCUUACCAAGGCAACGAUGCAUAGCCGACCUGAGAGGGUGAUCGGCAACACUGGAACUGAGACACGGUCCAGACUCCUACGGGAGGCAGCAGUAGGGAAUAGUCCGCAAUGGGCGAAAGCAUGACGGAGCAACGCCGCGUGAGUGAUGAAGGUCUUAGGAUCGUAAAACUCUGUUAUUAGGGAAGAACAUAUGUGUAAGUAACUGUGCACAUAUUGACGGUAACUAAUAAGAAAGCCACGGCUAACUACGUG